AUUUAGCUGACGAGUCCCAGAUAGGACGAAAGGUUCGUCAAACUGGAU
rfam:Schistosoma haematobium scaffold465_11, whole genome shotgun sequence.